UACGGAGGGUGCAAGCGUUACUCGGAAUCACUGGGCGUAAAGAGCGCGUAGGCGGGAUAGCAAGUCAGAUGUGAAAUCCUAUGGCUUAACCAUAGAACUGCAUUUGAAACUGUGAGGCUGGAGUGCAGGAGAGGUGAGUGGAAUUCCUAGUGUAGCGGUGGAAUGCGUAGAUAUUAGGAGGAACACCAGAGGCGAAGGCGACUCACUGGACUGUAACUGACGCUGAGGCUCGAAAGCAUGGGUAGCGAACAGG
rnacentral:rRNA from 1 species